UGAUAGCAAUGAAGCGUGAGGUUGCUGCCGGGACUUCUGAAACAACAGCAGUUUGAGAAAAGAUAUGGCAGGUUUUCCGUGGAGCGAAUGUCAAGUUAGGAAACUGGCGACAA
rfam:Lachnospiraceae bacterium 3-2 genomic scaffold acPFJ-supercont1.1, whole genome shotgun sequence.